CCCGCUGAACUUAAGCAUAUCAAUAAGCGGAGGAAAAGAAACUAACAAGGAUUCCCCUAGUAACUGCGAGUGAAGCGGGAAGAGCUCAAAUUUAAAAUCUGAGGGUCCCUGUGGCCAUCCGAGUUGUAAUCUAGAGAAGUGCUAUCCGCGCUGGACCGUGUACAAGUCUCCUGGAACGGAGCGUCACAGAGGGUGAGAAUCCCGUCUUUGACACGGACUACCAGGGCUUAUGUGAUGUGCUCUCAAAGAGUCGAGUUGUUUGGGAAUGCAGCUCUAAAUGGGUGGUAAAUUCCAUCUAAAGCUAAAUAUUGGCGAGAGACCGAUAGCGAACAAGUACCGUGAGGGAAAGAUGAAAAGAACUUUGGAAAGAGAGUUAAACAGUACGUGAAAUUGUUGAAAGGGAAACGUUUGACACCAGUUAUGCGGGUGGAAAAUCAGUCUUUUGCAAUGGGGAGUUGUGGGCGUUCAGACCGCAAGGCUGGCGUUUGCUUCAUCUUUGUUGUAAGUGAUGCACUUUUUCAUUUGCAGGUCAACAUCAGUUUGCUUUGCUGGACAAAACCCCAAGGGAAGGUGGCAGCUUAGGCUGUGUUAUAGCCCUGGGGCGAUACAGUGGAGUGGACUGAGGUUUCGCAGUGUGUGCUCUCGGGCAAGGCUGACUGGGUGCUAUGGGAUCGUUCGGCGUACAAUGCAUGCAUUUUGCGUCGUGUCUUUUUCAUACUCGCUCAACUCGGCUCUUCCACACUUAGGAUGUUGACUUAAUGGUUUUAAACGACCCGUCUUGAAACACGG
rnacentral:rRNA from 1 species